rnacentral:rRNA from 1 species
CCUACGGGGGGCAGCAGUGAGGAAUAUUGGUCAAUGGACGAGAGUCUGAACCAGCCAAGUAGCGUGAAGGAUGACUGCCCUAUGGGUUGUAAACUUCUUUUAUAUGGGAAUAAAACGUUCCACGUGUGGGAUUUUGUAUGUACCAUAUGAAUAAGGAUCGGCUAACUCCGUGCCAGCAGCCGCGGUAAUACGGAGGAUCCGAGCGUUAUCCGGAUUUAUUGGGUUUAAAGGGAGCGUAGGUGGAUUGUUAAGUCAGUUGUGAAAGUUUGCGGCUCAACCGGAAAAUUGCAGUUGAAACUGGCAGUCUUGAGUACAGUAGAGGUGGGCGGAAUUCGUGGUGUAGCGGUGAAAUGCUUAGAUAUCACGAAGAACUCCGAUUGCGAAGGCAGUUCACUGGACUGCAACUGACACUGAGGCUCGAAAGUGUGGGUAUCAAACAGGAUUAGAUACCCCGGUAGUC